UACGAAGGGGGCUAGCGUUGCUCGGAAUCACUGGGCGUAAAGCGCACGUAGGCGGCUUCUUAAGUCAGGGGUGAAAUCCUGGAGCUCAACUCCAGAACUGCCUUUGAUACUGAGAGGCUUGAGUCCGGGAGAGGUGAGUGGAACUGCGAGUGUAGAGGUGAAAUUCGCAGAUAUCGGGAGGAACACCAAUGGCGAAGGCAGCUUGCUGGGACGGUACUGACGCUGAGGCGCGAAAGCGUGGGGAGCGAACAGG
rnacentral:rRNA from 1 species